UCUCAGAACUCACAAAAACCGAGGGGUUCUGUUGUUUGUGAGGUCCAAGACACAUCCCAGUUGAAGUGUCGUCUCUUACAUCCAGUCUUCAGGAGAAAUGAUCAGGUCAAAUUCGACAUCAUUUGGCAACUGGCUGACAAGAAAUCACAAACACGAGAGGCUUACAUCAUUGCUAACUUAACCUGUGAGAAUGGAGGCACCCAAGUGUUGGAUGACAAGAAGUAUCACUUUGGGAUAAAGAAUGC